ACAAUAAAUGAAUGAAGAGACAAACGUCAUUUAUCAAGCAUGUAUUAUAACAUUUCCGUGUUUUGUCAUUUCGUUUCAUUAUCAAAUAACUGACAAUUUGUCGCCCUUUGUAUCAACACGCCAUUUGUAAACAGGAAAGGUCGUGAGAAAGUAAGCUUUUAAACAGUAAUUUGACGAUAAAUUUAAAAGGGAUAAUGAUUGGCAUUGCGCGAUUUACAGAUUAACUAUUGAUUAGCUACUGAGGAACAUCUGGCAUAUUGCUAUGACCUUAAACACAAAAAAGGAAUUCUCAAGGCAUGCCUACAUACCACAUGUUGAAAUAGUUUGUGGAAUGGCUGAAAGAUGAAAGAAUUUCCAGAAAAAAUAAAAUUCUUUAUGAAUUUGUGAAUGGAAAUGAAACCCAAUGAACUAAUAUGUUUGCUUACCAUCCAGUUGAAAGUAUGCCAAUGGAAUAAAGUGCAACUGUCACUGAAGUGCACAAAAUAAGGCAUGUUGUAUGCAAAAGUUCACCAAGCUGAUUCAAACUACAAAUGUGAGGCAAGAAAAAAAAAGUGAAAUUAACUGAACUGUCACAGUUCAACUGUGAGAAAUGUUUGGUAAAAGUAUGUUUUGUUGCCAGAACAGCAGUGAAGUAGUUAAAAGUAAAACUGUCUUAAUUGUUUAAGUAAUACAGAAUAUUUUUUUAAAACUUACUCCAUGCAUAAUAUAUCUUGAGUGUUCUUUUUUAUUUUUAUGUAUUGUCCUGGGUCAGGGUUGUCGUGCGAGAAAAGUCACAGGCUAGGCGAACUUGUAUGGAGAUGAGGAAAAAACACAAAGAACACUAGUUGAUUUGAAUGAAAUAUGGGCAUUUAAUAAAAUGCCAUAAAAAGGCAAAAUUUAACAUUAAAACAGUACAAUCAUUAUAAAGCAAUACAAGGCUAAUAAAUUUCCGAAUUGUAAUAUCUGGGCGACCAAAAAACCGCCGCCCAAAUAACUGACUAGGAAAUGUAAAUACAUUAAAAAAGAUACAUUCUAAAGAUCAAUGUACAUGUAUGAAACUUAAUACAACAAACAAUUUAAAAUAUGACUAGAGAAACAAGAGUUUUAAGCAAACAAUAUUGUCCAUUAUAUAUAAUAAAGCAACCCUGACCAUCAAUGUUAACUUAAGUAAAAGGACGAAGAGGAGGAGGAAGAGAUGGUGGUGGUUUUUCCUGUAACAAAAUUUGGCGAGGGAUCCUUCCUCGCCGAUAAAACAAAGAACAAUGCUCGAAAAUUAACGACUGGCUAAGAGCGAGCACGUGACCAAGCGGGCGCUUUUGAUUGGUUAAACAAUAAUUAUAUGCGAAAGGCUAAAACAUUUAUGAAUAAUGUUACUGUUCAAUGACUUAAAAAAAUUUAUGCCUCCAUAAAAUCUUAUUUAUGUAUUGACCAGGGUCAGGGUUGUCGUGCGAGAAA